rnacentral:rRNA from 1 species
UACGUAGGUGGCAAGCGUUGUCCGGAAUUAUUGGGCGUAAAGCGCGCGCAGGCGGUCCUUUACGCCUGAUGUGAAAGCCCACGGCUCAACCGUGGAGGGUCAUUGGAAACUGGGGGACUUGAGUGCAGGAGAGAAGAGUGGAAUUCCCGGUGUAGCAGUGAAAUGCGUAGAGAUCGGGAGGAACACCAGUGGCGAAGGCGGCUACCUGGACCAGCACUGACACUGAGGCACGAAAGCGUGGGGAGCAAACAGG